rnacentral:ncRNA from 1 species
UAUCUGGUUGAUCCUGCCAGUAGUCAUAUGCUUGUCUCAAAGAUUAAGCCAUGCAUGUCUAAGUACAAAAACCUUAAUACGGUGAAACCGCGAAUGGCUCAUUAAAUCAGCUAUGGUUCCUUAGAUCGUCUCAUCCUACUCGAUAACUGUGGAAAAUCUAGAGCUAAUACGUGCUUACAAGCCCUGACCUCACGGGAGGGGCGCAUUUAUUAGAUCAAAACCAAUCGGGCUUGCCCCGUCUGCUGGUGACUCUGGAUAACUUUUUGCUGAUCGCAUGGCCUCUCUGCGCUGGCGACGUAUCUUUCAAGUGUCCUGCCGCUAUCAACUUACGAUGGUAGGUGAUAUGCCUACCAUGGUUAUAACGGGUAACGGGGAAUCAGGGUUCGAUUCCGGAGAGGGAGCCUGAGAAACGGCUACCACAUCUAAGGAAGGCAGGCAGGCGCGCAAAUUACCCACUCCCGGCACGGGGAGGUAGUGACGAAAAAUAACGAUACGGGACUCUUUUGAGGCCCCGUAAUUGGAAUGAGUACACUUUAAAUCCGUUAACAAGUAUCUAUUGGAGGGCAAGUCUGGUGCCAGCAGCCGCGGUAAUUCCAGCUCCCAAUAGCGUAUAUUAAUGUUGCUGCAGUUAAAAAGCUCGUAGUUGGAUCUGAGGACUCGAAUUGGUGGUGCACCAUACGGUGUUACUGCCGAUUCGGCCUACCUAGUCGGUGCUCGCUCUUGGUGUUCUUAAAUUGAAUGCCCUGAGUGCCCGCAAGUUUACUUUGAAAAAAUUAGAGUGCUCAAAGCAGGCCAUUAGCCGGAAUACUUCAGCAUGGAAUAUA